rnacentral:rRNA from 1 species
UACGUAGGCAGCAAGCGUUAUCCGGAUUCACUGGGUUUAAAGGGUGCGUAGGCGGGUAAGUAAGUCCGUGGUGAAAUCUCUGAGCUUAACUCAGAAACUGCCGUGGGAUACUUAUUUGCCUUGAAUAUUGUGGAGGUGAGCGGAAUAUGUCAUGUAGCGGUGAAAUGCUUAGAUAUGACAUAGAACACCAAUUGCGAAGGCAGCUCACUACACAAUCAUUGACGCUGAGGCACGAAAGCGUGGGGAUCAAACAGG